rnacentral:sRNA from 1 species
GUCUCUUUCUAGAAUCUGUAUUCUGCAGCCAACUUUGUUGACCAUCUCCGCAAUGCCUUGGACGUCCUGCAUGGAGAGGUGCCCAGAGUCCUGGUCAACCUCGUGGACUUCCUGAACCCCAGUGUCAUGCGGCAGGUGUUCCUGGGAAACCCGGACAAGUGCCCAGUGCAGCAGGCCAGCUUGAACCACUUGGAAGCAAAACAGAGACCCUGGACCUGAGAGCAGAGAUGCCCAUCACCUGUCCCACUCAGAAUGAGCCCUUCCUGAGAACCCCUCGGAACAGUAACUACACGUACCCCACCAAGCCAGCCAUUGAGAACUGGGGCAGUGACUUCCUGUGUACGGAGUGGAAGGCUUCCAAUAGCGUUCCAACCUCUGUCCACCAGCUCCGACCAGCAGACAUCAAAGUGGUGGCCGCCCUGGGUGACUCUCUGACUGUAAGUAGUGAGCCGUGAACCAGGAUGGGCAGCUCAGAGUCCAGCCAGGCCCC